rnacentral:rRNA from 1 species
UGAGGGAUAUUGGUCAAUGGGCGCAAGCCUGAACCAGCGACGCCGCGUGGGUGAAGAAGGUCUUCGGAUCGUAAAGCCCUUUUCCCACUGAAGAGGAAGGACGGUAGGUGGGGAAGAAGUCUCGGCUAACUACGUGCCAGCAGCCGCGGUAAAACGUAGGAGACAAGCGUUAUCCGGAUUUACUGGGCGUAAAGCGCGUGCAGGUGGUUUCGUAAGUUGGAUGUGAAAGCUCCUGGCUUAACUGGGAGAGGUCGUUCAAAACUGCGAGGCUUGAGAGUGGUAGAGGGAGGUGGAAUUCCGGGUGUAGUGGUGAAAUGCGUAGAUAUCCGGAGGAACACCAGUGGCGAAAGCGGCCUCCUGGACCAUUUCUGACACUCAGACGCGAAAGCUAAGGUAGCAAACG